rnacentral:rRNA from 1 species
UGCUGCAUGGCUGUCGUCAGCUCGUGUCGUGAGAUGUAGGGUUAAGUCCCGCAACGAGCGCAACCCUUGUCUUUAAUUGCCAUCAUUGAGUUGGGCACUUUAAAGAGACUGCCGGUGUUAAACCGGAGGAAGGUGGGGAUGACGUCAAGUCCUCAUGGCCUUUAUGCCCAGGGCUACACACGUGCUACAAUGGGUGGUACAAAGGGCAGCCACUCAACGAUGAGGCGCUAAUCCCAUAAAGCCGGUCUCAGUCCGGAUCGCAGUCUGCAACUCGACUGCGUGAAGUUGGAAUCGCUAGUAAUCGUAGAUCAGCAUGCCUACGGUGAAUACGUUCCCGGGCCUU